rnacentral:sRNA from 1 species
CCUUUAGGAACGCAGACUAAGAACGCCAAGUCCUGUGGCAACGUCGGCAUGGCCAGCUUCCUGGGUG